rnacentral:rRNA from 1 species
GUAAAUUUUAUGGUCAAGCUACUAAGGGCGCAUGGUGGAUGCCUUGGCAGAAGAAGGCGAUGAAGGACGUGGCAAGCUGCGAAAAGCUCCGGCCAGCCGCAAGCAGGCGUUAUCAACCGGAGAUGUCCGAAUGGGGAAACCCACGCUGGUAAAACCAGCGUACGGCCCGCUGAAUCCAUAGGCGGGUACGAGCGAACCCAGGGAAGUGAACCAUCUCAGUACCUGGAGGAAAAGAAAACAAUAGUGAUUCCGAAAGUAGUGGCGAGCGAAAUCGGAACAGCCCAAACCCGCCGCACCUUAGGGUGCAACGGGGGUUGUAGGGCCGGCAACAGUAGAGUUACCAAUCCCGCCGCUAGCUGAACCUCUCUGGAAAGAGAGGCCACAGAGCGUGAUAGCCGCGUAGGCGAAAGCGGUCGGGACUCGAAGCCGGUACCUGAGUACCGCGGGGCACGAGAAACCCUGCGGGAAUCUGCGGCGACCAUGCCGCAAGGCUAAAUACUUUGCUUCUGACCGAUAGUGAACCAGUACCGUGAGGGAAAGGCGAAAAGAACCCCGGCGAGGGGAGUGAAAUAGUACCUGAAACCGUGUGCCUACAAGCAGUGGGAGGGCUAUGUCUCGCGCGCAAGCGCGGGAAAUGCCUGACCGCGUGCCUAUUGCAUAAUGAGCCGGCUAGUUAUUCUUGUCAGCAAGGUUAAGCGUAAGCGAGCCGCAGCGAAAGCGAGUCCGAAAUGGGCGACAAAGUUGGCAGGAAUAGACGCGAAGCGGGAUGAUCUACCCUUGGCCAGGCUGAAAGUGGGGUAACACCCACUGGAGGGCCGAACGGGUGUUUGUUGAAAAAAGCUCCGAUGAGCUGAGGGUAGGGGUGAAAGGCUAAUCAAAUUCCGUGAUAGCUCGUUCUCUUCGAAAUACGUUUAGGCGUAGCCUCGUGUGAUUUGCCAUGGUGGUAGAGAUCUGGAUGGACUAGGGGGCUUUCCGGCUUGCUGAAUCCAACCAAACUUCGAAUGCCAGGGACAACCAGCACGGGAGUCAGACGGCGGGGGCUAAGCUUCGUCGUCGAGAGGGAAACAGCCCAGAUCGCCUGCUAAGGUCCCCAAAUCCAAGUUAAGUGGGAAAGGAAGUCGGAACGCCCAGACAGCCAGGAGGUUGGCUUAGAAGCAGCCAUCCUUUAAAGAAAGCGUAAUAGCUCACUGGUCAAGCGGUCCGGUGCCGACAAUUCAACGGGGCUUAAACUUGGUACC